GUGUGCUCGGGAUCAAUUCCUCCGCGUCCACGCAAGAGGCGAAAUUUUCGGCUAAGAUAGGACUCAUCCUCCCGUUGCGCCGCCCGAACCAAAAAUCCCCCCUUCUCCCCCCAAGUCCGAUGCGCCGCCGUGCGCCGCCCCUCCCCGUCCUACAGCACUUCCUCUUCGUCCCCUUCUCUAGCUCGUCAUCAAGCUCUCCCAGCUUACUCCGGACCAACACCACCACCGAGGGCCACGUCUCCCUACCUACUCGGUCUGACCCCAGUGGAAGGAGCGGCGGCUGGCGAUGGCAGCCGAGGCGAGGAGCUGGCCAGGCCUCCCAAGAAGUGCCGGAUCGAGUCGCGCAACAACAGAUCUCGCAGUCGCAAGGUUGCUGGGAGGAGCGCCGCUGCCAGCGCUUCGCGGACGAAGCGGCUCCCAAUGCAAAGUUCGAUUUCUCGAUUUUUUUUAUCUUCAUGUUCGUGAAGGCCAAGACAUGGACCAUAUACACAAGUACCCAUCUCAGUAUAGCGAUUUUUUGAUAGGCACCUAGCACAUUUCUUAACACGCUUAGAACAACGGUAUGGCUAUUAAUUCAGCAAUGAUAUUACCCCCUCAGUCCUAUAUUUAUUUGCAAUAUGCUUACUGGCUUUCUCUUGGCUGAAGAAUUCGGUGAACUAAAUAUGCCUCGCCUACACAAAUGUACUGUCCUUCCAAGACCAUCUAAUUCACCUUUUAUUUUCUGUUUAGAUCAUACAAGGUACUGCUGCUGCUGAAAUCCCGUGCACCUGUCUUUGAACACUGAGUGAAGGAGUCAGCUGGCAAAAUGCCAGAAGUAAAAGGUGAGCUUUCUUACUCAGCCAAUGGCCUCACUGCAUAGCUCCUUCAUAUGUGACAUAAAUUUGCAACACAAUUUGCCUAACUCAGUCAUGUUCUUGCAGUCCAAUAAUUUCCACCAAAGUUUUAGUUGAAUAUAUGGCGCAUUCAGGUAUAUAAGACAUCAUGAUCGCAAAUAGAAAGUUUAUAUGUGAUUACGAGACAUCAUGAUCACAAUUUGCUUAACUCAGUCAUGUUCUUGCAGUCCAAUAAAGUACCAAAAAAGUUUUAGCUGAAUAUAUGGCGCAUUCAGGUAUAUAAGACAUUAUGAUUACAAAUAGAGUUUAUAUGUGAUUAUGAGACAUCAUGAUAUAAAAAAGAGCACAUAAGUGUUAAUUGAAGCAACAGGAGAAUCAUGUUUGGGACCUUAAAAUUACUUCUGACUAAAAUGGUAACAUGUAGGCUCAUCAUGAUUUUAAUUGCUUCUGACUAAAAUGGUAACAACUAAUUACACUUUAUGUAUUGCUUACUUCAACAUGUAAAAGCUUGGUCAAUGCUUCACAACGAUAUGAUGGUAGGAACCCUCUCAUAUUCAACCACAGUUGGCAAACUAUGGAAGGAGCUUCUGGAUGUUCCUUGUGAUGCUCGUUGGAUGUUUCCACGGUACACCAUAGAUGAAACAGAGACUGACAUUAUUAUGAGAUACUUCCAAAUAAAACUUGUGUCUAGUGAUGGCUUUUGAAUAUCAUGUGCUUCCAAAAGCUUUGUUUGUGCAACCUAUGACUUUUGAAAGUUUUCCUUGUAACUUAAUUCAAGCAAACUAUCAUUUUGAACUAUUUGUUGGGCAUGCAAAAGAUUGUUCAAUGUGAAAGGUUUUCAGAAGAGAAGUGGAAAAAGAUUACUAUUUGCCAAAUGGAAAUGGCUCAGAGAUGAGGUGUCUUCCUGUGUUCACAUAUUUUUCCCUAUUACUAUUUCUUGGACGCCAUAGUGAUCAAAGAAUUUGAGUUGCAGCAAAAUCUAUCAAUGAAAGUACUUGUUCACAAACGGUAGCUUUUUACUCUGAUAUAAAACCUAAUUUUGGGUAUGAUCAGUUCAGAUUUUUGUAAAUGCUGUGUGCUUCCUUUUCAUUUAUCAAUCCUAUAUGUGUGUGGCGUGUUAGACUUUAAUUCUUUAGCAUUAAUGUUACAUGAUCUUAAGCAUAAAUGUAUAGAACAUCUAAUUAUCAUAUGAGACCAGUUUGAGGAUCUUACUGUCAUUGGGAGUAGCUUUUGGUUAGGUGAAGCGAGGUUCCACACUCGUUUGAUGUAGGAUUGACGAGUAGGGGCUCGCUGCUGGUACCAGCGAUGAAACCCAUGCGUGACAUUACUGCAUUAUCUGUCUACAUAAGAGAAGAAGAUGAUCUAAAGGCGAUAAAACCUUUCCGACAUUAUAUGGAAAAAGGACAGGAGCCUGGUUUAAGGGCAUCUUUGGUUUGGCCUCAUCAUCAAAUGUAUGUUGUGAGCUACCGGAGUUUCUGUUGAGUGGCUAAAGUACACACGUGAAGAUGAUGUUGAGCUUGACCAUAAGAGAUCGAAAACUACAGUGAUAGAGGGUGACGAUGAUAUGCAGAUGGACAACAAGCUAGCUCCGUGUGUCACAGAGUGAGCAUAGUUCAGCAGAAUGUGAACAACUUCUAAGCUGCAGUUCUUGUAAUAUGUUUUUUGUACGGAAUACUUGUUAAAGUAUAUUUGUGAGGAAUUCUGGCUCAAAAUUGACCAUAAGUGUGAUUGCAUGUGUUCAUUGAUAAUCUCAUCUGUAUGAUGAAUUUUGAAUGCAACUUAUAAAUUUGAAUAAUGGAUCUAAAUUUGAUUA